rnacentral:tRNA from 1 species
GGCUGAUUAGCUCAGUGGUUUGAGCGCGGUGCUGACAACAAUGACACACUGAGAUCGCGGGUUCGAUUCCCACUCGGUCC